AAACAAAAACACCAUUAAAUUGAAAGAGACUGACCGACUGAGAGAAACUCUGAUAAACAGAGAGAGAGAGGAGUCAAUUAGGUGUAGGAAAAUCUAAGAAAUCAGACAUAAACUACAUAUGCCCCAUAGUUUCCCAGUUCCUUUCAAAAACUUUGUUUCCAGUUACGCUAAAACGACCUUUUUGCUUUUUGAUUUUUCCAGAAAAAGAAGCAGAAGAAGAAGGAAGAUGAAGUCGACUAAAAAGAGUUGCCUCCGACUUUUUGAUUAACAAUGCCUCCGACGGUUUGGUGAUGCCCAAGAAACUUGAGGAGAUUGCAUUUGGAUGUCUCCUACCUAAUUACUCAGGAGGCAAGCAAUCUCUUCACUUAUUAUGACAGGAAAAGUCCACAACAACUUCUAAGGCCAAAUAGCCUAAUUGUUUUCCUUCUCUAAAUCUGCUACCCUUUCAUCAGACUCUUCUUUUACAAUAAACCUUCAUCUCUUGGUUUCACGACCACCACAUCACACCCUUUCUCCCUUCUAUUCCUGAAUUUGCAACCCCUAUGUUCCUUAUAUUCCUUAUGAUUCUUGAAGAUUACAAACCUCUCCAACACUGUAACUAUUUAGUCAAAAGCCUCUCUAAUCUGUGAGAUUAUAAUAAAAUCUCAAGUAUUUGUUCUUCUAUGGCCCAAUCACAAUGUCGUGAACACUCUGCUUAUCUAUGUAAGGAGGUCAGGUUUUCUUUGAUUUUUUGGGUAUUUUUUAAUUAUUUUUGAGAGAUUUUUCUACAUAUGAUUGUGCGAAUUGGAUUUCUAUGUGGGUUAUGUUCUGUGUAAGUCUUUCUUUCUUGGGAAAUUUUAGUUCCUUUUUUUCCUUAAACUUCUUUUUGCAAUUUAUCAGUUUUGAAAGAUUUAAGUUUUGAAGACGAGCAAUGAGUUUUCCAUUUUAAAAAAAUAUUUAAUUUCGACCAAAAUGUUGAAGCAAACAGAAUUUGUACUGCUUUAUUUAUUUAAUUGGGUCGGUAGAGGAAUUCUGUUGAUGGGUUUUGUUGGUGAUAGAAUGAGAUAUUUGAAAGAUCAUUUUGAACAAUUUAGAAACUACAAGAUGGGAACAACCCAGAUUUUGUGGUUGAGGUUUUGUCUAGUUUAGAAGCUAUGCCUAGAGCACUGUGACUCUUGAGUAUUUGUAAUCUAUAUAGUUAAUUUAGGAAAAAGUUUGUUCAUUGAUUAAUUUUUGUUUAUGGGUAAAAGGAAAUACUUUACUAAUAGGAAAUAUGUUUACUAAUUUAUUUAUAUAUUUCACUUCUGUAGAGAACAGAAAAUUGAGGGUUUAAAAUAGGUAGAUGUCCAUGUUCAUCAGUUUGAGUAGUAAUACUAAUGCCAAAUAUUUACCGUUUUUUCUCCUUUAUUCUCUAUUGUCUCUUUCUGCAUCAUUAUUGGUAGUAUGUUUUGAGGAAGAAUAAAUUCUUUCAAACAAUUGUGUGAACCUUUCACUUUGAGAGAGAUCAAUGUACACACAUGGAAAUGAAUAUUUCAUUUUUUAUGUUUUCUAGCAAACAUAGUUUUAACUUUUAAUGAGCAUUUUGCCUCAUAAAACUUUUGUUUUUCAUGUAGACACUGAAUACUGAAUAUUAAAUUUGAUGUUUGUGAUGUUCUUUCGUGAUCAAAUUUGUAUUACUAGAAAGGUCAUUUUUAGUGUAUGUUUCUUGAAGUUGUUCUUUUUGAAUUUUGUAACUGACUCUGUAUUUAAUUUAGUUUAGUGUAGUUGUUCAUCUUUUUUUUGCGGGAUCUCUUAUUGUCAUUCUCUCAUAUAUAACAAAUUUUUGGAGAAAACAUCAUUGUUUGAUCCUUUUAAGCAAAAAUAUAGAUACUAAUAUAAAAGUGAUUUGCAUAAUGAAGGCACCAUUGUCAUCUUUUGUUCAUGAUGAGUUUCACUUUCACAGUUGCAGAACCUGUUCACAACUAUGGGGUGCUAAUUCUGGAUGGCACAAUGGAAAAACAAUAAGCCAUAUAGAGCAAACGGACGGAAGUCUAUAUACUUAAGGGUGGCUGAUGCAAUAAUAGAUUUGCCACGAAGUGUUCAUAAAAGAAAUUUUCAACCUGUGUUGAUGCAAAGGAUAACUUCCACUUUUUUAAGUUUAUGAAAUUUUAUAUGUAUUACUUUUGUGAUCUAUUGCCUUUAUGAAAUUGUAGAUAUGUUUCUGCAAAUAUUGUGAUUUAAAAUGUGACAGAAUGUAUUGUUUAAGUGUUGUAAACUAAACAAAAAAUGAGAAACCUUUAAAUAUUUGAAUUCUUAUUUUCAAAUAUGCCAUGGAAAUUGAAAUAAAUAGUCUCUUUUAAGUUUUGUGUUA